rnacentral:ncRNA from 2 species
UUUUGUCACUAGGGGUGCCGCAAGGCUGAGACGAACAUUUGGUUCGGACCCUUUGAACCUGAUCUGGUUUAUACCAGCGUAGGGAAGUGGAUGAGCAUUGUA